UAUAUAUCUUUGCCAUCUUCAGCCAUUUUCGCAUAGGAAAUUUGCAACGAAUUCGAAGAAACUUUAUUGGCGAUUCUUAGCAAUUCUAGUAAACGCAGAAUUAUUUAUUCUUGAAUAACUGACUUAUACGGAGUAUCAUCAAAGUUGCGAGUCGCAAAUUACAUUAUGGCAGUUUUCACCACGUCGAGAUAUAGGCUGUUGGUGGUGAAAAACCUUGGAUCGGAUCCCGUUUGGGCGAUGGGCCGCGAUAGGUCGGCGUCUGGAGUACGCGCUCUGGCUCUGCUAGCGUCGCCAAGCGAGUGCUGCCAGACAGCCGGCCAGUAUCGUAGAGGCGCGCAGCCCGUUGCGAUCGUCCAUCCCUUAAAUCCUGUUGCAUACACCACUCUACCCGGACGUUAUACACACAGGAUACGUGUGCGACGCGGGAAAUAGCAGAAAUCGCAGAUACACGGCACGAUCUCCCUUCUCCCGUUUAAUUCCCGACAUCAUCUUGUAAACAACUACUUCGCUGCGUAUCGUGUCGAUCGUAGAAGGCACGACGACGAAACGGUGAUCAGCGAGAAAUUCGUAAGCAUAAGGACACGCUGUAGAAUUAAUUCUAAGUCAACAUGGAAUUUUACAAAGAGGACACCAAUUUCAACAACGAGAUUCUCGUUCACGCUUGACAGACAGCGGUGACAACGCCACCGUAAUAAUAUUCAGUCUGCAAACGUCUUCGCAACAUCGGCCGGCGAACGAAAACAGAAUUGGUAGGUCUCUGCGGUUCGUCGAUCAACGCUUUUGCGGUGAGAUUCUUGUGGAAGCUCCUCUCCAUCGAAUGUCCUCGAAAAGCGAGCCUUCUGCGAAGUUUCACAAAUUGUAUGUCCCGGAGACUAGUUACGCGUUGUUCCCGAAGAACUUUCGUAUCGAUCACACGAACGUCGGACGAACUUUCUUUCGGUGCGAGUCGGGAACUUUCUGAAAACUACGGCGACGCGAUCCCGCCACUUCCUACUCCCCGCUUUCCUUUAUCUUUCACCAAAGCGCUCUCGGCUAUGAAAGAACAAUUUCACUUAAACUGUUAUAAACGCGGCGCGCCACGCUGGUGUUGCAAAAUCUCGAAGCCAAUUGAAAAUUAAGAAGAUUUCCGACGGUGUUCGCGUGGAAUACAAGGCGAAACUCUCGUCCGGAGUAACGUCGAAAAAGGAUUGCGAGCGGUGUCAUCGUAGUGAAGAAAAAUGUGCGGAACCGUUGUACCUUAAAAUUCCAAGCGUGUCGGACGACGAAAAUGGCGACCCACGUAAUGCGACGGAUGGCGGAUCUGUGCAAGAGGUAUCGCGAAAGCACGGAGAAUUAAACGGAGAUUCAGUUUUCCGGUUACUGUCGACGCCCGAUUGAAUGCACGAAGCUACCGAGAGGCGUGUCCGCCGCGCGUGAUACGCGACGGGAAGUCGACGAUAAUGCAGACUUUGUGCUCGGGGAAGAUUUUAUUAGCGACGUGACGCGAAAGCUCUCCCGCCCACGUGAUCGGCCAUAGACCACGAAAUCGUAAAAAAGCUGAAAUAGGACGUAACAUUUCCAUUUGCGUGAAACGUGACAAGAAAGUUCAGUUGGCCUAAUUUUGCAACAAUACGCGAUACAAUGUCGCAAAAAGGGGCAUUGAAUUAUGAGCGCGUGGAACAGAAUAAAUGUUUGACGAGAAUCGUUACAAAACCUCGGCCCCAUUAGGUAUUCUAUCAUAUGACGGACCAGAGUGAGAUUUUUCUUCCAGCACAAAACGUGGAACAACGAUGAACGGCGCUGGUAAAUUCCAGAAGCGAUAUUUAUUGUAUUACUGUGCGAUGCUACUCGUCAGCUAGAAAAGUUAACGUGCAAAAAAAUCGCCUCGCCGUCGUAAAACGACGGACGAAUUUCACGGCGAAACGUUAACGAUGCUUCAGUAAUCGUUAAAUAGCACCGAACGACGAUAUACGCGCCGGCUGGAGCAACGGCGGGAUGAUUAAACGCAAAACUCCCAUAAACCGGAAAUCCAUCAGACUUUCCUAAGUCGAAAGAUCGGCGUAAUAAUCAAUGACUGUGAUCUCGAUUUCUAAUUGUAGAUAAAAAAACGGGUACAAAAACUCCGUCACGAUAACGACUACAUCUACGAAGGAAAAGAGUUAUAUCAAAGCUUCGGAGAUAUCGGAAAAAAAACGCGCAUUCAUCUUCGGCGAAUGAGCCGUGAGGACAAUGGGUCUUCAUCCGGCGGGGACGACUGGUCGACGAUCUGGGACGCGGAUCUUGCAGAGAGCGCCCGUGCAUGAAACGCGAGUGGAAGUGAGUUCGAACGUCAAAUUGAAGCUGUCGGCCGUGCAGCCGGCGUUACCUUGCAGUCUAACUAACGAAGCUAUACAGUAACAGUCCGAUAUUAUCGACGUGCUCACCGCUGCCGCGAUGAAGUAAUGAAAUAGGCCCGAAAGAUUGUUACAACAAGAUCGAUAAACAGGAAAAUGGACUUGAAUUAACGGUUUCGCGUAAUCGAGAGACCGCCCACGCGUAACACAAGCUGCGAGUUCAUUCCAAAUCAAUUUUUGUCCCGUCGCUAAUGAGCGAUUUCCAAUUAAAAUCGACCAGUCGGAAAAACGCGAUUCACCGACGCGCAAUACAACACGCGCCGAAAUCAUAGGUUCGUGUUUUCGACAUCCGAUAAUUGCGCUUUCACGCGGAACAUUGAACGUGAAUAAGAAAAUCGACAACGCCGAAGGAGCGUAAAACGAAUAUUGUCGCAACAGCGGCGUCGCAACAACGAGAACACGAGAUUGAUGAAUGCUGAUUCUUUGACCAGGCGACUGAGUCUCUUCUCGUGGCAACGCAGAGUCGAAAGACGGAAAUUCCGAACAUUGCUCGAUGUUUCGAUCGUAACAUGCUCGGCUGCUACACGAGAACAGGUGUAAUACAAUUAUUGAAGUUACAUCGACGUGGUCAUGAAAACUUGGCCGAGUUAGUUGGCCACUAUACGUGGUCGACAGGAUUAUGUAAGUUAUUUGCCCUGAAAGAUAAUGGUCCCGGUGGUUUCUCUCAGCAGCAAAUUUUCAUCUUUUAAAUUAAGCGCCGAGGAAAUAUUUUUCAAGGGUAUUUGCAUAUCUCGAACACGUUCAGCGUGAAAAGAAAUAAAAUAAUACAUGAAUGUAUUAUCCAACGAUCGAUCGAUCUAACGAGUCUCUCCUUAUGACGCUAUUGAUGUUGCAAUCGCGUAUCAAGUUACGAAGAAAUCCGCGCAUCUUGAAGAAGGAAAAGGAGGAGGAGAGUAACAGAAGUGCAAACGAGGAGAUGAAAAUUGCGCGUUCCGGCUGCGAUCUUUGAGAUGGGAUAAAAAGAAAUAAACACCGCGCAAGACAAAAUUACAAACUGAAAGAUGAAUAGAGGCAACUAUUAAAGCGGUGGAAGAGAGCAGUGAGUAAAAAUACCCGACAGUCUUUCGUUCGUCUAGCUCAAACGGAAAUCACGGAGAGAGAUUAGCGAUUCGUGAUGCAGAACUUUAACGAUUCGACGUUGUUCAACACCACGUCUUACCCUUGGAACGUAACUACGUACGACUAUGACGGCUAUCACAACGGCAGCAACUAUACGGAUCUCGAGCCGCGAAAUCAAUUCGUGCUACCGUGGUGGCGGCAGAUGAUUUGGACGUUUCUGUUCGCCUGCAUGAUCGCCGUGGCAACCGGCGGCAAUUUGAUAGUGAUAUGGAUCGUGUUGGCGCACAGACGAAUGCGCACCGUCACCAAUUACUUCCUGGUGAACCUCAGCAUCGCGGACGCCAUGGUCUCCACUCUCAAUGUCAUCUUCAACUACACGUACAUGCUCAACAGUCACUGGCCGUUCGGCACCCUCUACUGCAAGAUUUCCCAGUUUAUCGCGGUCCUCACCAUAUGCGCUAGCGUCUUCACUCUGAUGGCAAUAUCCAUUGAUCGGUAUAUGGCCAUCGUGAAUCCCUUGAGACCACGUAUGGGAAAAAAGGCGACACUAUGCGUUGCGAUCGUUAUUUGGAUCGUCGGAGUAAUUCUUUCUUUACCGAUGCUGGUUUUCUACACUACUUAUACUCAGAACUUCAUAAACGGCGAAGUCCGCGUCAUUUGCUACGGUGCUUGGCCAAACACUUACGAUGAAUAUUUAUACAACGUUGUCUUCACGAUAUUGACAUAUUUUUUACCAAUUGGAUCCAUGACGUUCACAUACGCCAGGGUCGGCCUGGAAUUGUGGGGCUCGCAGAGCAUCGGAGAAGCUACAGCCAGGCAGCUAGAGAACAUUCGAAGCAAACGAAGGAGCGGUUACGGAGAAGGGAAUAAAAAUGGAAACGUGAUUAUUGAACAUAAAAAUGGCUAUCACAUAAUGGAUGUACAUAUAACGAAUUCGCAACGAAGCGGUCGAUGCGCAUGCAACACGACUGACUAUGUAUUUUCCGUAACUACUGCAGAAAUUGUAUCCACAGUUCGACUCCAAUGCGAUAUACAUCUUGCAGAAGAGGAAACGCGCUUUGCCUUUAAUUAAAUGCGCGAGAUAUGACGGUAAAGAGAUUAUAAUAAUACGCUGCGCACAAGUACAAGGAGAAUCCAGUCAAGUGACCCCCGCUCGGCAUGUUCGAGUGGGACUUUAUCGGAUUUCGAUUAGACGACAAAAGGCGUCCGCUCUGCCAUAUUCCGAAUCCUUGCUCCAUUCCGCAGUCACAGCGCUACCCGCAUACAAACUCCUACGGACAAACCUCUAUAGAUAGAUACAUAGUACGGAUAAACGGCCCAUAUCUAUAUAGUUAGACUGUAAAUUAUGUAC
rnacentral:misc_RNA from 1 species